GAAAUGCGAUAAGUAAUGUGAAUUGCAGAAUUCAGUGAAUCAUCGAAUCUUUGAACGCACAUUGCGCCCCUUGGUAUUCCGAGGGGCAUGCCUGUUCGAGCGUCAUUAUAACCAAUCACGCCCUGUGCGUGGACUUGGGGUUCGCGAUUCCGCGUCCCCUAAAACCAGUGGCGGUGCCGUUGGGCUCUAAGCGUAGUAAUUCUUCUCGCUACAGGGUCCCGCGGUUGCUUGCCAUAACCCCAACUUUCUCAGGUUGACCUCGGAUCAGGUAGGGAUACCCGCUGAACUUAA
rnacentral:misc_RNA from 1 species